UUUGUAUACAGGAAAACUCACCGAUUUGAGGAAGGAUACAGAGAAGAUUAGCAUGGCUCCAGCACAAGAAUGACACGCAAAACUCACCAAUUUGAAAUACACAUUU